CGCUCCGAUGCUCUAGAUUACGCGAAGACCUUACCAACACUUGACAUGUCUGUCGCGGAUUCCAGAGAUGGAUUCCUUCGGUUCGGCCGGACAGAACACAGGUGCUGCAUGGCUGUCGUCAGCUCGUGUCGUGAGAUGUUGGGUUAAGUCCCGCAACGAGCGCAACCCUCACUUUUAGUUGCCAUCAUUAAGUUGGGCACUCUGAAAGAACUGCCAGUGAUAAGCUGGAGGAAGGUGGGGAUGACGUCAAGUCCUCAUGGCCCUUACGUGUUGGGCUACACACGUGCUACAAUGGUAUCUACAACAGGAAGCAAGACUGCGAGGUCAAGCAAAUCCUUAAAAGAUACCUCAGUUCGGAUUGCACUCUGCAACUCGAGUGCAUGAAGCUGGAAUUACUAGUAAUCGUGGAUCAGCGUGCCACGGUGAAUGCGUUCCCGGGUCUUGUA
rnacentral:rRNA from 1 species